GAUGAACGCUGGCGGCGUGCCUAAUACAUGCAAGUCGAGCGAAUGGAUUAAGAGCUUGCUCUUAUGAAGUUAGCGGCGGACGGGUGAGUAACACGUGGGUAACCUGCCCAUAAGACUGGGAUAACUCCGGGAAACCGGGGCUAAUACCGGAUAAUAUUUUGAACUGCAUGGUUCAAAAUUGAAAGGCGGCUUCGGCUGUCACUUAUGGAUGGACCCGCGUCGCAUUAGCUAGUUGGUGAGGUAACGGCUCACCAAGGCAACGAUGCGUAGCCGGACUAGGAGGGGGAUCGGCCACACUGGGACUGAGACACGGCCCAGACUCCUACGGGAGGCAGCAGUAGGGAAUCUUCCGCAAUGGACGAAAGUCUGACGGAGCAACGCCGCGUGAGUGAUGAAGGCUUUCGGGUCGUAAAACUCUGUUGUUAGGGAAGAACAAGUGCUAGUUGAAUAAGCUGGCACCUUGACGGUACCUAACCAGAAAGCCACGGCUAACUACGUGCCAGCAGCCGCAGUAA
rnacentral:rRNA from 1 species